UACGGAGGGUGCAAGCGUUAAUCGGAAUUACUGGGCGUAAAGCGUGCGUAGGCGGUUCGUUAAGUCUGUUGUGAAAGCCCCGGGCUCAACCUGGGAAUGGCAAUGGAUACUGGCGAGCUAGAGUGUGUCAGAGGAUGGUGGAAUUCCCGGUGUAGCGGUGAAAUGCGCAGAUAUCAGGAAGAACACCCGUGGCGAAGGCGGCUCUCUGGAACGCAACUGACGCUGAGACGCGAAAGCGUGGGGAGCAAACAGG
rnacentral:rRNA from 1 species